CCUACGGGAGGCAGCAGUGGGGAAUAUGGGGCAAUGGGCGCAAGCCUGACCCAGCAACGCCGCGUGAAGGAAGAAGGCUUUCGGGUGGUAAACUUCGUUUAAGAGGGAAGAGCAGAAGACGGUAGCUCUUGAAUAAGCCACGGCUAACUACGUGCCAGCAGCCGCGGUAAUACGUAGGUGGCAAGCGUUGUCCGGAUUUACUGGGUGUAAAGGGCGUGCAGCCGGGAAGACAAGUCAGAGGUGAAAUCCCUCGGCUCAACCGCGGAACUGCAUUUGAAACUGUUUUUCUUGAGUACCGGAGAGGUCAUCGGAAUUCCUUGUGUAGCGGUGAAAUGCGUAGAUAUCAGGAAGAACACCAGUGGCGAAGGCGGCUGACUGGACGGCAACUGACGGUGAGGCGCGAAAGCGUGGGGAGCAAACAGGAUUAGAUACCCUUGUAGUC
rnacentral:rRNA from 1 species